UUUAAUUGAAGAGUUUGAUCAUGGCUCAGAUUGAACGCUGGCGGCAGGCUUAACACAUGCAAGUCGAGCGGUAGCAGGGAGAAAGCUUGCUUUCUCCGCUGACGAGCGGCGGACGGGUGAGUAAUGUCUGGGGAUCUGCCUGAUGGAGGGGGAUAACUACUGGAAACGGUAGCUAAUACCGCAUAACGUCGCAAGACCAAAGUGGGGGACCUUCGGGCCUCAUGCCAUCAGAUGAACCCAGAU
rnacentral:rRNA from 1 species